rnacentral:rRNA from 1 species
UAGCCAGACUCCUACGGGAGGCAGCAGUGGGGAAUAUUGCACAAUGGGGGAAACCCUGAUGCAGCGACGCCGCGUGAGUGAAGAAGUAUUUCGGUAUGUAAAGCUCUAUCAGCAGGGAAGAAAUAGCGACCUUUGGGUCGCCAGACGGUACCUGAUUAAGAAGCCCCGGCUAACUACGUGCCAGCAGCCGCGGUAAUACGUAGGGGGCGAGCGUUAUCCGGAUUCACUGGGUGUAAAGGGAGCGUAGACGGCCGUGCAAGCCAGGAGUGAAAGCCCGGGGCCCAACCCCGGGACUGCUCUUGGAACUGUGCGGCUGGAGUGCGGGAGGGGCAGGCGGAAUUCCUGGUGUAGCGGUGAAAUGCGUAGAUAUUAGGAGGAACACCAGUGGCGAAGGCGGCCUGCUGGACGGUGACUGACGCUGAGGCUCGAAAGCGUGGGGAGCAAACAGGAUUAGAUACCCCAGUACUC